GACGAACGCUGGCGGCGCGCCUAACACAUGCAAGUCGAACGGAGUUGUUUUGGUGAAGCCCUUCGGGGUGGAACCGGCUCAACUUAGUGGCGGACGGGUGAGUAACACGUGAGCAACCUGCCUUACAGAGGGGGAUAACGUUUGGAAACGAACGCUAAUACCGCAUAACAUAACGGGAUCGCAUGAUUUUGUUAUCAAAGAUUUUAUCGCUGUAAGAUGGGCUCGCGUCUGAUUAGAUAGUUGGUGAGGUAAUGGCUCACCAAGUCGACGAUCAGUAGCCGGACUGAGAGGUUGAACGGCCACAUUGGGACUGAGACACGGCCCAG
rnacentral:rRNA from 1 species